CUAUACAUGCAAGUCGAGCGGACAGAAGGGAGCUUGCUCCCGGAUGUUAGCGGCGGACGGGUGAGUAACACGUGGGUAACCUGCCUGUAAGACUGGGAUAACUCCGGGAAACCGGAGCUAAUACCGGAUAGUUCCUUGAACCGCAUGGUUCAAGGAUGAAAGACGGUUUCGGCUGUCACUUACAGAUGGACCCGCGGCGCAUUAGCUAGUUGGUGAGGUAACGGCUCACCAAGGCGACGAUGCGUAGCCGACCUGAGAGGGUGAUCGGCCACACUGGGACUGAGACACGGCCCAGACUCCUACGGGAGGCAGCAGUAGGGAAUCUUCCGCAAUGGACGAAAGUCUGACGGAGCAACGCCGCGUGAGUGAUGAAGGUUUUCGGAUCGUAAAGCUCUGUUGUUAGGGAAGAACAAGUGCAAGAGUAACUGCUUGCACCUUGACGGUACCUAACCAGAAAGCCACGGCUAACUACGUGCCAGCAGCCGCGGUAAUACGUAGGUGGCAAGCGUUGUCCGGAAUUAUUGGGCGUAAAGGGCUCGCAGGCGGUUUCUUAAGUCUGAUGUGAAAGCCCCCGGCUCAACCGGGGAGGGUCAUUGGAAACUGGGAAACUUGAGUGCAGAAGAGGAGAGUGGAAUUCCACGUGUAGCGGUGAAAUGCGUAGAGAUGUGGAGGAACACCAGUGGCGAAGGCGACUCUCUGGUCUGUAACUGACGCUGAGGAGC
rnacentral:rRNA from 1 species